rnacentral:rRNA from 1 species
AUUGAACGCUGGCGGCAGGCCUAACACAUGCAAGUCGAGCGGAUGAAGGGAGCUUGCUCCUGGAUUCAGCGGCGGACGGGUGAGUAAUGCCUAGGAAUCUGCCUGGUAGUGGGGGAUAACGUCCGGAAACGGGCGCUAAUACCGCAUACGUCCUGAGGGAGAAAGUGGGGGAUCUUCGGACCUCACGCUAUCAGAUGAGCCUAGGUCGGAUUAGCUAGUUGGUGGGGUAAAGGCCUACCAAGGCGACGAUCCGUAACUGGUCUGAGAGGAUGAUCAGUCACACUGGAACUGAGACACGGUCCAGACUCCUACGGGAGGCAGCAGUGGGGAAUAUUGGACAAUGGGCGAAAGCCUGAUCCAGCCAUGCCGCGUGUGUGAAGAAGGUCUUCGGAUUGUAAAGCACUUUAACUUGGGAGGAAGGGCAGUAAGUUAAUACCUUGAUGUUUUGACGUUACCAACAGAAUAAGCACCGGCUAACUUCGUG